rnacentral:rRNA from 1 species
CCAAUAGCGUAUAUUAAAGUUGUUGCAGUUAAAAAGCUCGUAGUUGAAUUUCGGGAUCAAUGUUUCGGUCAUGCCGUUGGUAUGUACUGAUAUUAUUGAUUUCUCACCUUCUACAGAACCGUAAUGCCAUUAUUUUGGUGUCACGGGGAAUUAGGACUGUUACCUUGAAAAAAUUAGAGUGUUUAAAGCAGGCUCACGCUUGAAUACAUUAGCAUGGAAUAAUGAAAUAGGACAUCCGAUUCUAUUUUGUUGGUUUCUAGGAUCGAUGUAAUGAUUAAUAGGGAUAGUUGGGGGCAUUAGUAUUCAAUUGUCAGAGGUGAAAUUCUUGGAUUUAUUGAAGACUAACUACUGCGAAAGCAUUUGCCAAGGAUGUUUUCAUUAAUCAAGAACGAAAGUUAGGGGAUCGAAGACGAUCAGAUACCGUCGUAGUCUUAACCAUAAACUAUGCCGACUAGGGAUCGGAUGAUGUUAAUUUUUUAAUGACUCAUUCGGCGCCUUACG